rnacentral:rRNA from 1 species
GGUAAACGCUGGCGGCGUGCCUAAAACAUGCAAGUCGGACGCAUGCGUCCCUUCGGGGGCGUGUGAGUGGCAGACGGCUGAGUAACGCGUGGGUGACCUGCCCCGGAGUGGGGGAUAACUGCCCGAAAGGGUGGCUAAGACCGCAUGAGCCCCUCGGGUCGGACCGAGGGGGAAAAGCGAGAGCUGCUCCGGGAGGGGCCCGCGUCCGAUUAGCUGGCUGGUGGGGUAACGGCCUACCAGGGCGAUGAUCGGUAGCUGGUCUGAGAGGAUGAUCAGC